UGAAGUCGGACGCUUAACCGACUGCGCCACCCAGGCACCUCUGGGCUGGCCUAUUUGAAGAUCCUGAUCUAAGGAACAGAAUUAAGAUGGGGCGCCUGGGUGGCGCAGUCGGUUGAACGUCCAACUCUUGAUUUCAGCUGGCGUCAUGGUCUGGUGGCGGGCUCCGUGUUGAUGGCAGGUCCUGCUUGGGAUUCCCUCCCCGCCUCCACCUCUCUGCCCUUUGCCCGCUCAUGCACACACUCUCAAAAUAAAUAAACUUAGGAAACAAAAAAAAGUUGAGGAACAAAUUCAGCGAGGGAUUUAGUAAGAGCGCAGGUAUUUGUUACUUUCUUGGUCAAGUGGUGCCCCCUUGUGGGUACUUCGAUGUACUCUCCAGGAACCUUGGCUCUGGCAACGCAAGACCGCAGCAGCAAGGAUUACUUCUGGUUUAGGCCCGGUCUGAUGGUUCUCUGUGGAUUGUCUAUUAGGCAAGAAUGUAAUUCGUGAAAGUGGUGUGGGCUAAUUUGUGACCUCCCCAGAAAAGAGAUGUUGAAGUCCUAACCCCUGAUACCUGUGGACGUGAGCUUAUUUGAAAAUAGGGUCUUUGCGCAUAUAAUUAAGAAGUAAGUUAAGAUCAGGCCAGUAGAGUGGGCUCUUAAAUCCAAUAUGGCUGCUGUCCUUCUAUAAGAGGAGAGGGACACAGGGGAGGAGAAGGCUACGUGAGAAGGGAGGCAGAGACUGAAGCGACGCAGCUCUGAGCCAAGGAACACGCAAGAUUGUCAGCCUCACCAGAAGCUCGGGCAGGGACAAGGAACAGAUCUCCCUCAGAGCUUCCGGAAGGAACCGAUUGGGUGGACACUUUGAUUUCGCCUCUAGAGCUGUGAGAGAAGAAUAUCAGGAAGGAGAAUAUCAUGAAAACUUGAUUCUCAAAUGAGCCAAAGGCAGUGAUGCCCAGGAAUGGAGCUGGAAUGCAUUAGAGGGAUCAGAAAAUGCACGUGGCACAGAAUGGCUGCCUGAUGGGCAUUCGUUGAGGGAGAGAAGGAAUGAAUGAGUGAGCGGAUGAAUGAAUGGCAUUUUCCGCAAGGAAACGUAAAUCAGCAUGUAAAUCACCUGGCUUUUGAAUACACGCGGCAGGAGCUUCAGCCGUUCCUGGGGCGUCAGCAGUCUCUGGAAUGUCUCCAGUAAGCCAGGGGUGGCAGGGAGAUGCUGCUUCUUUUGUAACAUUUUAGUGCCUAAAGGGAGAAGCCACCAAGUUUCUUUUGCCUGCUGGUAGUAGCCAUUUGUCCCCUUUUCACAAAAAGGGAAACUGAGGUUCCGAAAAUUCCAGUGUCUUUACCAGAUGUCCGAUCAUCUAAGACUCUGCCGACUGGCGACCAGGAUCCAGAUGCCCUGAGCCCAUGUACUGGCUUGUUUUCUUGAAACAUACUAUGCUUCAUAGGGGAAAAGUGAAACCCCCCUUGGAGAACUUGUGAGGGCCCCACUCAUCUGGGAAACCUGCCUGCAUGUUAAGGAAACAAGCAGUUGUUUCGAUAUGGUUCCAUUUUAAUAAGAAAAAUGUAAAUAUGUGUGUACAAAUAUGUAUAUGGUAAAAACAGGUGCAUCAACAUGGUAAUAAUUGUGAUUUCCGGGGGGAGCGGGAUUUUGAACUGUUUUUCUUUUCUCUUUUUAUUUAUGUUUUCCAAUUUUUGUGUAAGGUGUAUGAAUCGCGUAUGUGAUUUAAAAAUUUUUCUAGGGGCGCCUG